CCUACGGGAGGCAGCAGUGGGGGAUAUUGGACAAUGGGGGAAACCCUGAUCCAGCGAUGCCGCGUGAGGGAAGAAGGUUUUCGGAUUGUAAACCUCUGUGGAGGGGGACGAUAAUGACGGUACCCCUUUAGGAAGCCCCGGCUAACUACGUGCCAGCAGCCGCGGUAAUACGUAGGUGGCAAGCGUUGUCCGGAUUUACUGGGUGUAAAGGGCGUGCAGCCGGAGAGGCAAGUCAGAUGUGAAAUCCGCGGGCUCAACCCGCGAACUGCAUUUGAAACUGCUUCCCUUGAGUAUCGGAGAGGUAA
rnacentral:rRNA from 1 species